rnacentral:rRNA from 1 species
GAGUUUGAUCGUGGCUCAGGAUGAACGCUAGCGGCAGGCCUAAUACAUGCAGGUCGAGGGGCAGCAGGGAUAGCAAUAUUCGCUGGCGACCGGCGCACGGGUGCGUAACACGUAUACAAUCUGCCUUCAACAGGGGGAUAGCCCGGAGAAAUCCGGAUUAAUACCCCAUAACAAUGAGACCGGCAUCGGUUUUAUUUAAAAGUUCCGACGGUUGAAGAUGAGUAUGCGUCCGAUUAGCUAGUUGGUGAGGUAACGGCUCACCAAGGCGACGAUCAGUAGGGGAUCUGAGAGGAUUAACCCCCACACGGAUACUGAGACACGGAUCCGACUCCUACGGGAGGCAGCAGUAAGGAAUAUUGGACAAUGCCCGCAAGGGUGAUCCAGCCAUGCCGCGUGCAGGAAGACGGCCCUAUGGGUUGUAAACUGCUUUUACACCGGAGAAAACCUCCCUUCGUGAAGGGAGCUGAUAGUAUGGUGAGAAUAAGCAUCGGCUAACUUCGUGCCAGCCGCCGCGGUAAG